rfam:Daucus carota subsp. sativus cultivar DH1 chromosome 1, whole genome shotgun sequence.
GCUUCUAGUGAUGAUUUCAAAAAUACUUUCGUUCUUCCGAGAUUAAAUUCUGUGAGGAAGAUCAUGGAGACCUGAACUGAAGAAGC